rnacentral:lncRNA from 1 species
AGGACUAUAUUGGUGAGGGGCAACAAGAUGAUUCCCCCCAUCAAACUGGAUAAAGGAAGCUGAAGUACGAUAUAUGCUGACAAGAUAUAUAGCUCAUCCAAAACCAACAUGCUCUUUGACGCAUUCUCUUCUUUUUUUAUUUAUUAGUUUUGUCAUUAAGCUUUUUCAAAAACUUCAGCAGAAGAUGCUGAGGUUAUUUAGUUCAUUUAUAAAAACUUCAGCAUUAAAUAAGCUGAAGUUUUUUUGUCCUGGAUAAACUUUUUCAAAAAUUUCACCAAAAAUGCUGAAAUUAUUUAGUUCUUUUGUAAAAACUUCAGCACUAAAAGCUGAAGUUUUUUUUGUCCUGGAUUCAUUAGUUUUGUUAUAAAGCUUUUUCAAAAACUUCAGCAGAAGAUGCUGAAGUUAUUUAGUUCAUUUGUAAAAACUUCAGCACUAUAUAAGCUGAAGUAACAUUUUGCAAGAAGAAUGAAAUAUAAAUGGCAAAGUUUAAGUUGUUAAUAGAAUGAAACUUACAAGUUAAAACAGAAUAUUCACUGAUACGAAAUACCUUGUAGUGUUAGUUUUCCCUAUUUUCCUUCCCUUGUAGUAUAACUUCCAAGACCAAACACAUAUUAGUAGGAAUGAACUUGGAUUCCACAUUUCAAAUGACAAACCAUUUGAUCUAUAAUUUGAGUUCAUAUUUUACAUCUAAUUUUUUUAAAUAUAA